rnacentral:rRNA from 1 species
UACGUAGGUGGCAAGCGUUGUCCGGAUUUAUUGGGUUUAAAGGGUGCGUAGGCGGCUUUGUAAGUCAGUGGUGAAAUAUGGCAGCUCAACUGUCAAGGUGCCAUUGAUACUGCGGAGCUUGAGUACAGAUGAGGUAGGCGGAAUUGACGGUGUAGCGGUGAAAUGCUUAGAUAUCGUCAAGAACACCUAUAGCGAAGGCAGCUUACUAGGCUGUAACUGACACUGAGGCACGAAAGUGUGGGGAUCAAACAGG